rnacentral:rRNA from 1 species
GCACAAGCGGUGAGUAUGUGGUUAAUUCGACGCAACGCGCAGAACCUUACUAGACUUGACAUCCCGGGGAUUUUCUGGAAACAGAGAAGUGCUUUAGCAAUAAAGAACCCGGUGACAGGUGCUGCAUGGCUGUCGUCAGCUCGUGUCGUGAGAUGUUGGGUUAAGUCCCGCAACGAGCGCAACCCUCGCCUUUAGUUGCCAGCAUUCAGUUGGGCACUCUAGAGGGACUGCCGGUGUCAAACCGGAGGAAGGUGGGAUGACGUCAAGUCCUCAUGGCCUUUAUGUCUAGGGCUACACACGUACUACAAUGGCCGGUACAAAGGGCAGCCACUCAGCGAUGAGGCGCUAAUCCCAUAAAGCCGGCCUCAGUCCGGAUCGCAGUCUGCAACUCGACUGCGUGAAGUUGGAAUCGCUAGUAAUCGUAGAUCAGCAUGCUACGGUGAAUACGUUCCCGGGCCUU